rnacentral:lncRNA from 1 species
GUCAUUUGAUAACAUUUGUGUGAACAAGUAUAAAUGAUAAACAGCCCAAUCAUGAAAAAUCGUAUUGCGUCGCAUACAACAAAUUAUCUUUCCAUCAAUAUCAAAAUUGCUUCACUGAUUUGUAAACAUUUCUUGUAAACAAAUAUAAAUGGUGAACAACCCAAUUAUGUAACGUCUGUUUGGGCCAUACAGUACACAUUAGGUAAAGAUGAUUAACGUGAAAAUUAAAAUAUCAUAACACUAACAAAUUAAAAAACAGAUUGAAUAAUUGUUGGUUGCUUCACAUGUCAAUAGCACAAAAAUGCUAUAUGGCGGCGAUUUUAAAAAGACAAAACACAUGGAGCUUAAUUGCAUCAAAUUUUCGAUUAACAAAAAAAAAAGAAGAAAAAAAAACGACGAGAUUGCUUAAGGUGGUAUGGGAGACUAAAAUAAAAAUGUUAGAAUUUGUUGAUACUUUGCCAAAUUGUUGUAUCUAUUGAUACAUGUUGAAAAAUAUAAUAAAAAUGAUAGGUCACUGCGCAUUUUCACAAGCUACAGGACGGGACCAAAUGACACAUUUUGUACGGAUUAUACAGGAAAAAACACCAUUUUGUGAUUAGAAACUAAACAAAAUAAUAGAAUUGUUAAAUACUUCAGGAAUAGAUAGCUUUCAGACACUGCUUUGAGAAUACCAAAAGAAAAGAUAGGGUCACCGUAAGUUUUUUCCGGCUAAAAUACAAAAUAGGAAAAUUCCAUACAGAAUCUCUCAGAAAAUGCACUUUUUAGAGUUACCUCCUCUUAAAAUGCUAAUUUAAAAAAAAAAAAAUAAAAAC